CUCACUGCUCAGUGCUCACUGCCUCACGCCCUCAUUCUUGUGUUCUCCGCUGACCGCUCUCUGCAUCUGCCUCCGACCGGCGACCCUCUGUGCCUUCUCAGUUCUCUCUCGGCUCUCGCAGUCUCCAUCGGUUCUCUCCCGGCUUCACUGCCCAGUGCCUCUCACUUCUCAGUCGGUCUCAGUCUCAGAAAGCCAAUACCUCAGGGUCUAUAAAAAAUGACUCCAACACUGUGACAGAACUUCCCAGAUCUGUCUAUGCUCUCUUUUCUUUUUCUUCUUUUUUUUUGAAAAAAUAUCUCUGCUCUCUGCUUGGUGUUCUAGGAACUUCACUCCAGAUUUCUCUCUGUUGUACCAUCAGUGCUAUGUGGCGUCUCCUACACUCAAUGGAACCGUGUCUUCGUCUCUAGUUGUCUCCCGGAUAGACGCCGCGGAUGGUCACCGCCGCAGGAGCUUCGCCUGUGGAAGACCAAUUCCCAGAUUUUACAGAGGCUGCCACCAAAGGUUUGAAGCUGCCAUGUCGAUCGCCGCCGUUCGUCACCGCUUCAGGAGCUUCGCCUGACCGAUUCCCAGAGCAGAGUCACCAUGGUUGUGUGUAGUAACAGAGGUUGUGUAUGAAUGAACUCCAUCUAUUUAUAUUUAUAAUAUUUAUAGGCCUUCACUCCAUAUUAGCUCCCUUAAGCUUUUCACUAUAAUUUGGUCUUGCCUUCUGUAUGUUCAACUUGCUUGAAACUCUUGCCGGUAGAUUACAUUGAGACUGAAGAUGUAUUCUGAUUUGGUCCAACAUGCGUGCAUGUAUUUAUAGCCAGAUUUCCACUCUCAAAUUCUGAUUUGAAAAUGGUUGUCUCAGAUCAUAUAAAGAUUUGAUUGGGAAA